rnacentral:rRNA from 1 species
CCUACGGGAGGCAGCAGUGGGGAAUCUUGCGCAAUGGGCGAAAGCCUGACGCAGCAACGCCGCGUGCGGGAAGAAGGCUUUCGGGCUGUAAACCGCUUUCAGCAGGAACGAAAAUGACGGUACCUGCAGAAGAAGGAGCGGCCAACUACGUGCCAGCAGCCGCGGUGAUACAUAGGCUUCAAGCGUUGUCCGGAUUUAUUGGGCGUAAAGAGUUCGUAGGCGGUCGAGUAAGUCGGGUGUGAAAAUUCUGGGCUCAACCCAGAGACGCCACCCGAUACUGCUUGACUUGAGUUCGAUAGGGGAGUGGGGAAUUCCUAGUGUAGCGGUGAAAUGCGCAGAUAUUAGGAGGAACACCGGUGGCGAAGGCGCCACUCUGGAUCGAUACUGACGCUGAGGAACGAAAGCAUGGGUAGCAAACAGGAUUAGAUACCCUGGUAGUCCAUGCCGUAAACGGUGGGCACUAGGUGUGGGUUUCUAUUAACGAAAUCCGCGCCGUCGCUAACGCAUUAAGUGCCCCGCCUGGGGGAGGUACGGUCGCGAGACGUAAACGUUAAAGGUAAGUUAGACGGUCGUGAGACGUUGUCCGACGGACGACGACGAGGGAGGUAGG